GGUCAUAUCACAUUGAAGCUCCAGUUCUCGUAACAUCACUGAAGUUAAGCACCGUCGAGCCUAGUCAGUACUUAGAUGGGUGACCACUUGGUAAUAGUAUGUGCUGUAUG